UACGUAGGUGGCAAGCGUUGUCCGGAUUUAUUGGGUUUAAAGGGUGCGUAGGCGGCCUUGUAAGUCAGUGCUGAAAUAUCCCGGCUUAACCGGGAGGGUGGCAUUGAUACUGAUGGACUUGAGUAAAGUUGAGGUAGGCGGAAUUGACGGUGUAGCGGUGAAAUGCUUAGAUAUCGUCAAGAACACCGAUAGUGUAGACAGCUUACUAAGCUUUAACUGACGCUGAGGCACGAAAGUGUGGGGAUCAAACAGG
rnacentral:rRNA from 1 species